rnacentral:rRNA from 1 species
UGGUAGUNCACGCCGUAAACGCUGAGUGCUAGGUGUUAGGUCCUUUCCGGGACUUAGUGCCGACGCUAACGCAUUAAGCACUCCGCCUGGGGAGUACGACCGCAAGGUUGAAACUCAAAGGAAUUGACGGGGGCCCGCACAAACGGUGGAGCAUGUGGUUUAAUUCGAAGCAACGCGAAGAACCUUACCAGGUCUUGACAUCCCGAUGCCCGCUCUAGAGAUAGAGUUUUACUUUUUGUACAUCGGAGACAGGUGGUGCAUGGUUGUCGUCAGCUCGUGUCGUGAGAUGUUGGGUUAAGUCCCGCAACGAGCGCAACCCUUAUUGUUAGUUGCCAUCAUUAAGUUGGGCACUCUAGCGAGACUGCCGGUAAUAAACCGGAGGAAGGUGGGGAUGACGUCAAAUCAUCAUGCCCCUUAUGACCUGGGCUACACACGUGCUACAAUGGUUGGUACAACGAGUCGCAAGCCGGUGACGGCAAGCUAAUCUCUGAAAGCCAAUCUCAGUUCGGAUUGUAGGCUGCAACUCGCCUACAUGAAGUCGGAAUCGCUAGUAAUCGCGGAUCAGCACGCCGCGGUGAAUACGUUCCCGGGCCUUGUACACACCGCCCGUCACACCACGAGAGUUUGUAACACCCAAAGUCGGUGAGGUAACCAUUUANGGG